rnacentral:rRNA from 1 species
CCUACGGGAGGCAGCAGUGGGGAAUAUUGCGCAAUGGGCGAAAGCCUGACGCAGCGACGCCGCGUGAGGGAUGAAGGCCUUCGGGUCGUAAACCUCUUUCAGCAGGGAAGAAGCGCAAGUGACGGUACCUGCAGAAGAAGCACCGGCUAACUACGUGCCAGCAGCCGCGGUAAUACGUAGGGUGCAAGCGUUGUCCGGAAUUAUUGGGCGUAAAGAGCUCGUAGGCGGUCUGUCGCGUCUGCUGUGAACACCUAGGGCUUAACUCUGGGCGUGCAGUGGGUACGGGCAGACUAGAGUGCGGUAGGGGAGACUGGAAUUCCUGGUGUAGCGGUGAAAUGCGCAGAUAUCAGGAGGAACACCGGUGGCGAAGGCGGGUCUCUGGGCCGUAACUGACGCUGAGGAGCGAAAGCAUGGGGAGCGAACAGGAUUAGAUACCCUGGUAGUCCAUGCCGUAAACGUUGGGCGCUAGGUGUGGGGUUACCAUUCCGACGGUAUUCGUGCGCCGCNCGCUACGCAUACGCGCCCGCCGUCGGGUAGGUACGGCCGGCGACGGACGUAAACCGUUAAACGUAGUAAGUUAGACGGUCGUGAGACGUCGCCGACGGACGACGACGAGGGAGGAGG